rnacentral:rRNA from 1 species
AUUGAACGCUGGCGGCAGGCCUAACACAUGCAAGUCGAGCGGAUGAAGGGAGCUUGCUCCUGGAUUCAGCGGCGGACGGGUGAGUAAUGCCUAGGAAUCUGCCUGGUAGUGGGGGAUAACGUCCGGAAACGGGCGCUAAUACCGCAUACGUCCUGAGGGAGAAAGUGGGGGAUCUUCGGACCUCACGCUAUCAGAUGAGCCUAGGUCGGAUUAGCUAGUUGGUGGGGUAAAGGCCUACCAAGGCGACGAUCCGUAACUGGUCUGAGAGGAUGAUCAGUCACACUGGAACUGAGACACGGUCCAGACUCCUACGGGAGGCAGCAGUGGGGAAUAUUGGACAAUGUGCGAAAGCCUGAUCCAGCCAUGCCGCGUGUGUGAAGAAGGUCUUCGGAUUGUAAAGCACUUUAAGUUGGGAGGAAGGGCAGUAAGUUAAUACCUUGCUGUUUUGACGUUACCAACAGAAUAAGCACCGGCUAACUUCGUG